rnacentral:rRNA from 1 species
UACGGGGGGGGCAAGCGUUGUUCGGAAUUACUGGGCGUAAAGGGCGCGUAGGCGGCCUUCUAAGUCGGACGUGAAAUCCCUCGGCUCGACCGGGGAACUGCGUCCGAUACUGGAGGGCUUGAAUCCGGGAGAGGGAUGUGGAAUUCCAGGUGUAGCGGUGAAAUGCGUAGAUAUCUGGAGGAACACCGGUGGCGAAGGCGGUUCUCUGGGCCUUACCUGACGCUGAGGAGCGAAAGCGUGGGGAGCGAACAGG